rnacentral:rRNA from 1 species
UACGAAGGGGGCUAGCGUUGCUCGGAAUCACUGGGCGUAAAGGGUGCGUAGGCGGGCCUUUAAGUCAGGGGUGAAAUCCUGGAGCUCAACUCCAGAACUGCCUUUGAUACUGAAGAUCUUGAGUUCGGGAGAGGUGAGUGGAACUGCGAGUGUAGAGGUGAAAUUCGUAGAUAUUCGCAAGAACACCAGUGGCGAAGGCGGCUCACUGGCCCGAUACUGACGCUGAUGCACGAAAGCGUGGUGAGCAAACAGG